GAUUCUGCUCCUUCUCCUUCUCUC
rnacentral:siRNA from 1 species